rnacentral:lncRNA from 1 species
GUCCGAGCGCCGCCCAGCGCACAGCUACCCCGGAGGGGCGGCUCCUUGGCCAGGGAAGGAGGCGGGAUCUGCUUGCCAGCGGGCGUCUCCGCUUAGCGCUCUCUCCAGAAACCGCUGGGCAGUCUCCUGGGUGAGCGCCAGACGCCUGGGGUCCGUUUGCCGCCUGCUGAGACUAGACAAGGACCCCGGGAGGGCGACGUUGGGGGAGAGGGCUACGGAUGGAGGUCCCGCCGCGCUUGGGCCGGGUCCGGAGCCACCAGGACGCACAGCGGGUUUCCCUCAUUCUCAGUCAGGUGGUUGAGUUAUCCAAGCCUUCAUAACCAGAGGGUCUGAGCACUUGUUGGACUGUGCUUACUGCAGCUUCUCAUUUACAAUUACCACUGCACCUGAGAGUACCAAGAGAUUCCUGAGCCAGAGAUUACGAUUUCCAACUUCCAGCUCCUCAAGGUUUCAAUAUCAGGAUGAUGCCAGCCUCAUAAAAUGAGUUAGGGAGGAGUCUGAGAGGAGCUAUUAGAGCUUUACAGAUGGAGAAACAGAGGGAAGAAGAGACUUGGAAUCACUCUGUCCUGGCUGUGGGCUGGAUAGCAAGUUUUGGAAGCACUGAACACCCACACGGAGCUGGCUCCUCUCAGGCGGGGAGGCAUCUUCACUAAGGAGAGGUGCAGUCUGUGUCCCCGUCCUUGACUCUGAGAAUCCCUGUGAUCAACAGAAUGCAGAAAAGUGACACUGCAUGGCUUCUGAGGCUAGGUCCAGAAAAGGUGAUGCAGCUUCCCCCUUUGCGCUGAAAUGCAGUGCUUGGACCUCAGAGCUAUUGACUAAGAAGUCCAUGCACCCUGAGCUUCUCAUGCUGGGGAAGCCACGUGUAGGCAUUCAGUUCCCAGCCCAGCUGAGCUCCAUCCUGGCUGCAACAAUUGUUCUCAUGAGGAAGCCAUCUUGGACACUCAGCUCCAUGGAGCCUCCACGAGUCGCCAGCCCCAACUGACAUCUGUCUCACUGCAACCACAGAAGAGCCUCCAACCAAGAACUGCACAGCUGAACCCUUUCUAAAUUCUUGAUCUCCAAAAAGCCAUGCACAAAAUAAAAUGGUUGUUUUGAGCCACUAAACUCUGGAACCUCGAGUAGGGGAGAAGUUCCUUUGGGUAGGUGUCAUUUUCCUAGGCUACCAUUCAUUUUCUCUUAUUUUGGUGAUAGCAGUCUGAUUUAUGUGUGUGGGUGGGUCGGGGGUAACCCUGAUCUUAAGUCAUGUAGUUCAGGUGCCUCCUGGAUGUGCCUGCCUAACCAUCAUAUCCCCACUACGGUACGGUGUUUGUAAAGAGUUGAGCAAAUAAUCCAGGACAGACCACUGAGAUUCUGCCUUGUGACUUUUGUUAAAAUUAGUGAGAAAAAGUCACUCUCGGGGCAGGCUGGAGUAAAGAGGGAUUGCUAAAUAGAUGCUAGGUAGGCCUGAAACUGCUGGGGGCCAAUUUAUUAUGAAGCAGGAAGAACCUAAUAAGGAAUAAAGUUACUCUGGAGGAAAGCCAAGCAAAGGAGGGUGAGAGACAGCUUCCUGAUGAGACUAAGCUUUGGACCCAGUUUUGCCUGGAACUUCGGCAGGCUGUUUUAGUUUCGUAAGUUAAUACGUACUCCUUUUUGAUUAAGCUAUUUCAGAGGUGUCACUUGCAUCUGAAAGAUUCCUAAUACAGACAGGUAAGAUCAGGUCAUGGAGGGCUUUGUGCCCUGUGAUGGUAAAGUUUUACUUUAUUCUGUAAAGAAUGAGAACUAUAUUUUAAUCAGGAGCAGGAUGAUGAGAUGUACACUUUAGCAAGACACCUGAAUGCACUGAGAAGGGAUAUUUUGGUGUUAGGAACAGGGAAAUGGACUAGGAGUAUAUAGUGUUAGUUUAGGACAUUAUGAUGCCAACUAAUAUAGCUGGUGGGAUUGGAUAUGCAAUUUGAGAAAUAUUUAAAUCAUGGAAUCAACACAAUUCAGACAGGUUGGGUGGUGUUGGGAUAAGGAAGAGAGAAGAAGCAAGGAUGACUUUUAGAUGGAUGGCUUAUAUACAAGCUGGACUAUGUAUCACUAAAGAGAAUAUUAGCUCCAGUUUAUGUCUGAUGACUCAGAAGUUAAACAACCUGCCCAAGGUUGUGUACCUAGUAAGAGCAGAACCAAUCAGGUCUUUAGGCUCCAAGACUUUCAUUCUUUGAAUUGUAUCAGGCCACUCACUGUGUUGAGGCCGCCAUGUGCACUGCAUUCCCAAGAAAUCAUAGCACAUGGGGCUGCUUGUUGUUCAGCACAUCAGGAGGAAGGCAAAAUUAUUAAUGCUUUCUUUUGGUCUCCUUGCUGUGUCUGACUUGCUACCAAACAAAACCUCUGCAGCAGGGCAUUUGUACUAUUCAGGUUUUCUUGGCUGACUUAUCAGCAUUUGUGAAAAGUACAGACGAUUUUGUUCCAGCCUUUCUGCAUUCUGACUUCAGAAGCUGAUUACAGAUGCAGAAACAUGAAGGGAGGUGAAAUCUAUUUCCCAAGAUGGACUAUGGAUUGGUUCUAAAGAUCAAAAGGGUGUGGCUUUUCAAUACAAACAACAAAGUCUGGGAGUUUUUGCACAGUGGAAGAGAAAGGCAAGUAGUAAGGGUGGCAAAGUGCUCAUUAGGAAGAAAAGUUAACAGGAAAACUUGGUUUAAAUCAAGGCAAGUAUGAAGAGAAGGUUAUCAACUUUAUGAAAAAGAGGACCAGAGAAGGCGAAGUGGCAAGCUGAGUGGCGAAUGCUGCUUAUCAUAUAUCCAGUUAAAAUUUCUUGGUCUCAUUCUUCACCAUUGUUAAAAUACUUUAACAUAUUUUAUAUACACUUAAAUAUCUGCUCCUUUCUAGUAAUAUAUUUUAUGUCUUUUACCAUCUUUGAGCCACAAUGAUCUCAACUGUGAAAUGGGAGCAGUAACAAAUUGCACCAUAAGAUUGUUGUGUUAAAUAAUGGCAUGAAUGUGCUUAGCCUGUUGCUUGUCACAUGGAAUCUGCACAGUUAAUGCUCAUAGCCUGUAACUCUUCCCAUCCUCUUCAGCAAGCUUUUAUUUAAUGACGCAGUUACGAAUGAGAAACUCCUGCAAGAAUGAUCAGUGUGCAUUGGAUAGAUGUUAAUUAGGUAGGACAGCCAGCAUUAUGUUCAUUUGAAGGGGAAAAAAACUGAGGUUUUCAGAGGUUAAGUAGCUUGCUGCAAAGUGCUUAGCUAUCAACAAAUAGGAGGUGGUUUUCUCCAGAGGGCCCCAGGUGAGAUGCACAGGUGUUACCCAGUGCAGACUUUUGGUCACCUUCACUUAACAUGGUGAUUGUUAUCAGAUGAGAAAGAAGACACCCUGGAAUUGAGAAAGUGCCAUACAAGAUGAGGCCAUUGCAAAGAGGAAAAAAGAGGCCCUGUGUGAGGCUAGGAAGACAGCACAACAAUGAGCCCAUGGCUUGCCAGGAAAGGAUCAGAAAUGGGAGGAGUGUUGUAGGCUAGUGGGACAUUCUCAAGCUUCAGAUCAGGUGAUUCUGUGCCCAAAUUAUCACUCCUCCAUGUAUUAUCUGUGUGACUUUGAACAAGGUUGUGUAACCUUUCUAAGCCUGUUUCUUCUUUUUUUUUGAUUUUUUUUUUUUGAGAUGAAGUCUCACUCUGUUGCCCAGGCUAGAGUGCAAUGGUGCGUAAUCUCGGCUCACUGCAACCUCUGCCUCCCAGGUUCAAGCAAUUCUCCUGCCUCAGCCUCCCUAGUAGCUGGGAUUACAGGCGAGCACCACCAUGCUCGACUAACUUUUGUAUUUUUAGUAGAGAUGGGUUUCACCAUGUUGGCCAGGGUGGUCUGGAACUCCUGACCUUGUGAUCCACCCGCCUCAACCUCCCAAAUUGCUGGGAUGGAUUACAGGCAUGAGUGGCCGUACCCAGCCUUGUUUCUUCAGUUCUAAAAUGGAUAUAAUAAUGUCUUAUUUAAUUAUCACUGUUAGUAUACAUUGACAUGUCUUGUAAAGUACCCAUCCAGUCCAAUUCCUUAGGAAAUGCUUAAUAAGUAAUAAUAAUUAUGAGCCUAAUUAUUGUUUUUAUUUUGGAGCAAGCCUUAGCUGAACAUUUUCCCUGUGGAAAAAGAUUGUUUGAAUGGGCAUUAACCAAUCUGGAGGGAUUUAUAACAUUUCAAAAAGACUGUUAUAAAACUAGGGAUAGUUUGCCAGAACUGAAAAUCAAUGCAUUUAAUGUUCAGCUGUUUUGAAUGAGGAGGUAGUGCAGGUAACAGACUCUUGGCAGCCCAUCCCCAUUCCUGUUUCAGUCCUGAACCCAGGCAUGGGCUUAAUGUGAGAGAUAGAAAUAGGGCAAUCGAUGACUGAGAUUCAGAAAUGGGGCAGAGCCGGAAAUGUCUGUUGUAAAUUAAUUAAUUUUAAAAAGUCAAUUAGUGAAGAUGUGUUUUUACAUUUUGAAGCCACUACUUCCCGACUUGUCUGGAAAGCCUGAGAUUAAGAAUCACACUUUGGAGGUAAGGGAAUACACUAGUCUGUUCUUGCCCUGCUAUAAAGAACUACCUGAGACUGGGUGAUUUAUAAAGAACAGAGGUUUAAUUGGCUCCUGGUUCCACAGGCUCUCUAGGAAGCGUGGUUGAGGAGGCUUCAGGAAACUUGCAAUCAUGCAGGCACACAUUGCAUGGCUAGAACAGGAGGAAGAGAGUGAAGGGGGAGGUGCUAUACACUUUCAAACAACCAGACCUCGUGAGAACUCACUAUUAUGAUAACAGCAAGGGAGGAAUUCACCCCCAAGAUCCAAUCACCUCCCACCAGGCCCCUCUUCCAACUUUGGGGAUUACAAUUUGACAUGAGACUUGAGUAGGGUCACAAAUCCAAACCAUAUCAUGGGACAAGUGAUUGAAGACUCAUCAUUCUGUUCUGAAUGAAUUUUAUGACCAACUUGCUGUGUAGAGGGAGACAUUUGCCAAAUUUCAUUCAUAAUGGGUUCUGCAUACAGAACAGCUCGGAUUCCAGUUAGCCAUUAUUAUUGUAUGAACUUGCAUGAGUCACUUAAAUAAUUUGUGACCCAAUGUACUCAUCUGUAAAAUGGAGAUGCUAAUGGUAACUUGUUUGUAGCCUUUUGUGAUGAUUAAAUAAGAUUACUUUGUAAAGUGCGUAGACUGGUGUUUGGCAUUGAAUAUAUGCUCACGAAACAUUAGUCACUUUUAAAAGUUACCAUCUCAGAAAGAGAACUGAGAUUUAGCUUAAGCCUUGUAAAACUCCCCGUUGAUAGUUGUGCUCAUCUGCUUUCUGCUUCCCUGAAAGACUUUUAAAACAAAAAGGUGUGAAUUGUGAAGACAUCUUGUUUUUAAGUCAGCAACCAGGUGGGGGGAAGCUGCUAUUAGCACACAGACUUUAGAAGCUAAGACCUCAUAGCAUGAGGAGUGG